AACGAACGCUGGCGGCAUGCCUAACACAUGCAAGUCGAACGAAGCCUUCGGGCGCAGUGGCGCACGGGUGCGUAACGCGUGGGAAUCUGCCCUUUGGUUCGGAAUAACAGUUGGAAACGACUGCAAAUACCGGAUGAUGACGAAAGGCCAAGGAUUUAUCGCCAGAGGAUGAGCCCGCGUAGGAUUAGCCAGUUGGUGUGGUAAAGGCGCACCAAGGGGACGAUCCUUAGCUGGUCUGAGAGGAUGAUCAGGCACACUGGGACUGGGACACGGCCCAGAGGGCUGCGGCAGGCAGCAGUGGGGAAUAUUGGAGAAUGGGCGAAAGCCUGAUCCAGCGAUGGCGCGUGAGUGAUGAAGGCCCUAGGAUUGUAAAGCACUUUUACCCGGGAUGGUAAUGACAGUACCGGGAGAAUAAGCCCCGGCUAACUCCGUGCCAGCCGCCGCAGUAA
rnacentral:rRNA from 1 species